UACGUAGGGCGCAAGCGUUAUCCGGAAUUACUGGGCGUAAAGAGCUCGUAGGUGGUUUGUCGCGUUGUUCGUGAAAACUCACAGCUUAACUGUGGGCGUGCGGGCGAUACGGGCAGACUUGAGUACUGCAGGGGAGACUGGAAUUCCUGGUGUAGCGGUGGAAUGCGCAGAUAUCAGGAGGAACACCGGUGGCGAAGGCGGGUCUCUGGGCAGUAACUGACGCUGGAGGAGCGAAAAGCGUGGGGAGCGAACAGG
rnacentral:rRNA from 1 species